rnacentral:rRNA from 1 species
GAUGAACGCUGGCGGCGUGCCUAAUACAUGCAAGUCGAGCGAACGGACGAGAAGCUUGCUUCUCUGAUGUUAGCGGCGGACGGGUGAGUAACACGUGGAUAACCUACCUAUAAGACUGGGAUAACUUCGGGAAACCGGAGCUAAUACCGGAUAAUAUUUUGAACCGCAUGGUUCAAAAGUGAAAGACGGUCUUGCUGUCACUUAUAGAUGGAUCCGCGCUGCAUUAGCUAGUUGGUAAGGUAACGGCUUACCAAGGCAACGAUGCAUAGCCGACCUGCGAGGGUGAUCGGCCACACUGGAGCUGAGACACGGUCCAGACGCCUACGGGAGGCAGCAGUAGGGAAUCUUCCGCAAUGGGCGAAAGCCUGACGGAGCAACGCCGCGUGAGUGAUGAAGGUCUUCGGAUCGUAAAACUCUGUUAUGAGGGAAGAACAUAUGUGUAAGUAACUGUGCACAUCUUGACGGUACCUAAUCAGAAAGCCACGGCUAACUACGUG